rnacentral:lncRNA from 1 species
GUGCCACUCGGUACCAAAUAUUGUUUCAGACAUUUAAUUAAAUCCAUUAUUUUGGAUGACAUCUCAUCUAUAGUAUUAAAAACACUAUUCAAAAUACCUAUUCAAUCAUAUGAAGUUUGUUUGGUUCUUUUACUUUCAUACUAGGUCAUUUAAUAGAGUUCCAUAGUUCAUCACCGGGUCGAGUAACACUUCAUAAACAGAAAAUAUGCCCCCUGAACAUGGCUGUGGUGUUAAUGAAGAUACUGACCUGCCUGGCGAUUACUUUAUCAUUCACCAACGGCACCCCUGCCCACCCCCCAACGAGCUGAAGAGUUGCCAGCAGCGGCGAGGGGAAGGAUGCCAAUCCACGGGCACGACUGACACACACACACACACACACACACACACACACACACACACACACACACACACACACACACACACACACACACACACACACACACACACACACACACACACACACACACACACACACACACACACACACACACACACUCACUCACACACACACACACACACACACACACACACACUCACACACACACACACACACACACACACACACACACUCAAGGACACCAUCGUUCACUGAACUCUGGCAAGGUGCCCUUCAGAAGAAGCCACACAGGCCUGGAGUACCCUAAACACUACACACUAAACCCUACACACACAGGCCUGGAGUACCCUAAACCCUACACACACAGGCCUGGAGUACCCUAAACCCUACACACACAGUCCUGGAGUACCCUAAACCCUAUACACUAAAAUCAAAUCAAAUCAAAUGUAUUUAUAUAGCCCUUCUUACAUCAGCUGAUAUCUCAAAGUGCUGUACAGAAACCCAACCUAAAACCCCAAACAGCAAGCAAUGCAGGUGUAGAAGCACGGUGGCUAGGAAAAAAUUCCCUAGAAAGGCCAAAACCUAGGAAGAAACCUAGAGAGGAACCAGGCUAUGAGGGGUGGCCAGUCCUCUUCUGGCUGUGCCGGGUGGAGAUUAUAACAGCACAUGGCCUAGAUGUUCAAAUGUUCAUAAAUGACCAGCAUGGUCAAAUAAUAAUAAUCAUAGUAGUUGUCGAGGGUGCAACAAGUCAGUAACACAAGAGUAAGUGUCAGUUGGCUUUUUCAUAGCCGAUCGUUGAGAGUAUCUCUACCGCUCCUGCUGUCUCUAGAGAGUUGAAAACAGCAGGUCUGGGACAGGUAGCACGUCCGGUGAAUAGGUCAGGGUUCCAGCAGGUCUGGGACAGCAGGUCUGGGACAGGUAGCACGUCCGGUGAACAAGUCAGGGUUCCAUAGCUGCAGGCAGAACAGUUGGAACUGGAGCAGCAGCACGGCCAGGUGAACUGGGGACAGCAAGGAGUCAUCAAGCCAGGUAGUCCUGAGGCAUGGUCCUAGGGCUCAGGUCCUCCGAGAGAGAGAGAGAGAGAGAAAGAAAGAAAGAAAGAAAGAAAGAAAGAAAGAAAGAAAGAAAGAAAGAAAGAAAGAAAGAAAGAAAGAAAGAAAGAAAGAAAGAAAGAAUUAGAGAGAGCAUAUUUAAAUUCACACAGGACACCGGAAAAGACAAGAGAAAUACUCCAGAUGUGACAGACUGACCCCAGCCCCCCGACACAUAAACUACUGCAGCAUAAAUACUGGAGGCUGAGACAGGAGGGGUCAGGAGACACUGUGGCCCCAUCCGAUGAAACCCCCGGACAGGGCCAAACAGGUAGGAUAUAACCCCACCCACUUUGCCAAAGCACAGCCUCCACACCACUGGAGGGAUAUCUCCAACCACCAACCACCAACCACUAAACUCUACACACACAGUCCUGGAGUACCCUAAACCCUACACACACAGGCCUGGAGUACCCUAAACCCUACACACAUGGGCCUGGUGUACCCUAAACCCUACCCACUAAACCCUACACACACAAUCCUGGAGUACCCUGAACCCUACACACACAGUCCUGGAGUACCCUAAACCCUAAACACACAGUCCUGGAGUACCCUAAACCCUAUACACUAAACCCUACACACACAGUCCUGGAGUACUCUAAACCCUACACACACAGGCCUGGAGUACCCUAAACCCUACACACUAAACCCUACACACACAGUCCUGGAGUACCCUAAACCCUACACACACAGGCCUGGAGUACCCUAAACCCUACACACUACAUACACAGGCCUGGAGUACCCUAAACCUUGCACACCUCAUCCUAAAAUAUGCCAAAACCUGGACACACAUACAGAGAAUAGUUAAGUUCAUAAUUUUAAGGGUAUGUUAUUAUUUUAAGGGUAUAUUAUUAUUUUAAGGGUAUGUUAUUAAUUUAAGGGUAUGUUAUUAUGUUAAGUGUAUGUUAUUAUUUUAAGGGUAUGUUAGAAUCACCUUUAUUCGCCAAGUAAAUGUACACACACUCUGAAUGUCACUAGGUGAUAUGGAGCAUCAACAGUGAGAAUAGCAGGACAUCAUGGGGCUCCAGAGAGAAAGAGGCAUGGAAUGUGGUGCCAACACCUUGUCUGCCUGGGUGAAGGGUAGAUAG